rnacentral:rRNA from 1 species
GAUGAACGCUGGCGGCGUGCCUAAUACAUGCAAGUCGAGCGAACGGACGAGAAGCUUGCUUCUCUGAUGUUAGCGGCAGACGGGUGAGUAACACGUGGAUAACCUACCUAUAAGACUGGGAUAACUUCGGGAAACCGGAGCUAAUACCGGAUGAUAUUUUGAACCGCAUGGUUCAAAAGUGAAAGACGGUCUUGCUGUCACUUAUAGAUGGAUCCGCGCUGCAUUAGCUAGUUGGUAAGGUAAUGGCUUACCAAGGCAACGAUGCAUAGCCGACCUGAGAGGGUGAUCGGCCACACUGGAACUGAGACACGGUCCAGACUCCUACGGGAGGCAGCAGUAGGGAAUCUUCCGCAAUGGGCGAAAGCCUGACGGAGCAACGCCGCGUGAGUGAUGAAGGUCUUCGGAUCGUAAAACUCUGUUAUUAGGGAAGAACAUAUGUGUAAGUAACUGUGCACAUCUUGACGGUACCUAAUCAGAAAGCCACGGCUAACUACGUG